rnacentral:rRNA from 1 species
CGACGCUGGCGGCAGGCUUACACAUGCAAGUCGAACGCCCCGCAAGGGGAGUGGCAGACGGGUGAGUAACGCGUGGGAACAUACCCUUUCCUGCGGAAUAGCUCCGGGAAACUGGAAUUAAUACCGCAUACGCCCUACGGGGGAAAGAUUUAUCGGGGAAGGAUUGGCCCGCGUUGGAUUAGCUAGUUGGUGGGGUAAAGGCCUACCAAGGCGACGAUCCAUAGCUGGUCUGAGAGGAUGAUCAGCCACAUUGGGACUGAGACACGGCCCAAACUCCUACGGGAGGCAGCAGUGGGGAAUAUUGGACAAUGGGCGCAAGCCUGAUCCAGCCAUGCCGCGUGAGUGAUGAAGGCCUUAGGGUUGUAAAGCUCUUUCACCGAUGAAGAUAAUGACGGUAGUCGGAGAAGAAGCCCCGGCUAACUUCGUGCCAGCAGCCGCGGUAAUACGAAGGGGGCUAGCGUUGUUCGGAAUUACUGGGCGUAAAGCGCACGUAGGCGGAUAUUUAAGUCAGGGGUGAAAUCCCGCAGCUCAACUGCGGAACUGCCUUUGAUACUGGGUAUCUGAGUAUGGAAGAGGUAAGUGGAAUUCCGAGUGUAGAGGUGAAAUUCGUAGAUAUUCGGAGGAACACCAGUGGCGAGCGCUACUGGUCAUUACUGACGCUGAGGUGCGAAAGCGUGGGGGAGCAAACAGGAUUAGAUACCCUGGUAGUCCACGCCGUAAACGAUGAAU